UGUGCAGCCGGGAUGAUUGUUCAGAAUGGUUGGGCCUAUGCAACAGGGUAUGUUGUAUAGUGUUGGAUUAAUAUUGUUUAAUUAUCACUUAACUGUUUUA
rnacentral:misc_RNA from 1 species